UGCGGGUCUGUGGUUGAAAAUCGAUGCCAGUCGCAGGCGAAACGAUCCACGUAAGCGGAAAAGAGUUCCGUGAGCAUGGUGCGGUCUAGAUGUAAGUCCAACCGGGGCGACCCGAGAGGGGCAGUAGUGGGGAGCCGAAGCAGGCUUAUGAGCGAACCCUCCCGUUGGCGAGUGUGGGGGCAAAAACCAGGUCAGCCGC
rnacentral:ncRNA from 1 species